rnacentral:rRNA from 1 species
UACAGAGACUGCAAGCGUUGUUCGGAUUCACUGGGCGUAAAGGGUGCGCAGGCGGCCAAGUGAGUCAGGUGUGAAAGCUCGAGGCUUAACCUCGAAACUGCGCCUGAAACUAUUUGGCUAGAGUACUGGAGAGGGAAGUGGAAUUCACGGUGUAGCAGUGAAAUGCGUAGAUAUCGGGAGGAACACCAGUGGCGAAGGCGAUCUUCUGGACGGAUACUGACGCUGAGGCGCGAAAGCUAGGGGAGCAAACGGG